rnacentral:rRNA from 1 species
CCUACGGGAGGCAGCAGUGGGGAAUAUUGCACAAUGGGGGAAACCCUGAUGCAGCGACGCCGCGUGAGUGAAGCAGUAUUUCGGUACGUAAAGCUCUAUCAGCAGGGAAGAAAAUGACGGUACCUGACUAAGAAGCCCCGGCUAAAUACGUGCCAGCAGCCGCGGUAAUACGUAGGGGGCAAGCGUUAUCCGGAUUUACUGGGUGUAAAGGGAGCGUAGACGGCAGCGCAAGUCUGGAGUGAAAUCCCAUGGCUUAACCAUGGAACUGCUUUGGAAACUGUGCAGCUAGAGUGCAGGAGAGGUAAGCGGAAUUCCUAGUGUAGCGGUGAAAUGCGUAGAUAUUAGGAGGAACACCAGUGGCGAAGGCGGCUUACUGGACUGUAACUGACGUUGAGGCUCGAAAGCGUGGGGAGCAAACAGGAUUAGAUACCCUAGUAGUC